rnacentral:rRNA from 1 species
GACGAACGCUGGCGGCGUGCUUAACACAUGCAAGUCGAACGGUAAGGCCCUUCGGGGUACACGAGUGGCGAACGGGUGAGUAACACGUGGGUGAUCUGCCCUGCACUUCGGGAUAAGCCUGGGAAACUGGGUCUAAUACCGGAUAGGACUCCUGGCUUCAUGGUUGGGGGUGGAAAGCUUUUGCGGUGUGGGAUGGGCCCGCGGCCUAUCAGCUUGUUGGUGGGGUAAUGGCCUACCAAGGCGACGACGGGUAGCCGGCCUGAGAGGGUGAUCGGUCACACGGGGACUGAGAUACGGCCCAGACUCCUACGGGAGGCAGCAGUGGGGAAUAUUGCACAAUGGGCGCAAGCCUGAUGCAGCGACGCCGCGUGAGGGAUGACGGCCUUCGGGUUGUAAACCUCUUUCAGCUAUGACGAAGCGCAAGUGACGGUAGUAGCAGAAGAAGGACCGGCCAACUACGUGCCAGCCGCCGCGGUAA